GCUUCUAUAGCUCAGUCAGAAGAGCGCUGUCCUGUCACGGCAGAGGUCGCGGGUGCAAGUCCCGUUAGAGGCG
rnacentral:tRNA from 1 species